CAGAGAGUAGUUUAAUAAAAAUACUAGUUUUGGGAACUAGCGAUAGGAGUUUACUCUUUUCUCUGA
rnacentral:tRNA from 1 species